GAUGAACGCUGGCGGCGUGCCUAAUACAUGCAAGUCGAGCGAACAGACGAGUAGCUUGCUCCUCUGACGUUAGCGGCGGACGGGUGAGUAACACGUGGAUAACCUACCUAUAAGACUGGGAUAACUUCGGGAAACCGGAGCUACUACCGGAUAAUAUAUUGAACCGCAUGGUUCAAUAGUGAAAGACGGUUUUGCUGUCACUUAUAGAUGGAUCCGCGCCGCAUUAGCUAGUUGGUAAGGUAACGGCUUACCAAGGCAACGAUGCGUAGCCGACCUGAGAGGGGGAUCGGCCACACUGGAACGGAGACACGGUCCAGAAUCCUACGGGAGGAAGCAGUAGGGAAUCUUCCGCAAUGGGCGAAAGCCUGACGGAGCAACGCCGCGUGAGUGAUGAAGGUCUUCGGAUCGUAAAACUCUGUUAUUAGGGAAGAACAAAUGUGUAAGUAACUAUGCACGGCUUGACGGUACCUAAUCAGAAAGCCACGGCUAACUACGUG
rnacentral:rRNA from 1 species